AUGUGAUGCUCGAUCCAUGGAAGGUGCUAAGUGUUGGAAACUUGCCUGAAGUGCAACUUUGGUCGGCUAUUCUAUGGGUGGUUUUGUUGCCAGAGCUGCAGUUGUCCAUCCACAUUUAAGGAAGUCAGCAGUUGAGAUUGUUCUCACUCUUUCAAGUUGACACCAUGUUACCUCCUCUGGCAUUGUGGCCAUCUUUGGGUCAUUUCUUUUCACAAGUCAAUAGAGAAUGGGAAAAGGGUUAUGAGGUCCAGAGAACUCAUAGAGGCAGGAUGUCAGAUCCUACACUCUCUCUUUUUGUUGUCAUCUCCAUUUCUGGUGGUAUCCGUGAUUACCAGACUGCACUCCCAGACCUUUUGCUUGGCAAACUAGCCAACUAGCUAGUUGAAGGAAUAUGCAUUUAUGGAUGGGCAUUGUUUUAUAGAGAUCCUUUCCGCUGACUGAAGAAGAGUAUCUACUGAGGCUUGAUGAUGUUGCAAACACAUUGAAAUGCUAGGGAGUUGUCUCACAUAUUCGGAAUAGGCUCGCCAGAUUGAAGGAGCGGCCUCGGAUAGGAAAGGUAAAAUUACCAAAAAAAAAAAAAAAAACGCUGGAUGUGUGCUUGCUAAAAAAAACUUCAUGAUGAGACUAUAAUGGUUCUUUAUUUUUUUUCAAGAUAUUUUCUUUCAUUUAAAGUAAACUAGUCUGGUACAUAUGGUGAAGAGUCAAAUUCAUUGAUACUUUGGAUGAGGAUGGCGAAUGAUGAUCCAUAUGCACGACAUGUGGCAUACAUGUAUUGAUCCAAACUCGAAUCAUGGGGCCGUCUUUAGACAGGGCAGGGCCUCAAAUUCAGAUUGUUUGGGAAAUUGAAAGUUUUAACCUCUUACUAAUGGAAAUUUAUUCUUUGAAUUUUCUUCAUUCCUUAAUUUUCAUUUUAGAGUCCAUUUGACGAUCACCAAUUAGAUGGUUUCGUUCAGCGUAAUAUUUGAAUCAUGCAACAUCUAGAACUAAGCCUAGGAUUGGAAGCUUUGAAUAGAGGUGCACAUGUUUGUUGCAUGUACAGUGGCUGCAUGCACAAAUGAUGGAUCAUCAGAUGUAUCAUAUGCCUCUUCAAAUUCAAUUAUGUGACUGAUUUUAUCUUCCUUGUUGUAAUAUCAUAUGAGUAAUCAUCAUCAUCAUCUUCUUCUUCUUCUUUCUUUGGAAAGAUAAACUAGCUUCUAUUAAGAAACUAAAAUAGGAGUACAACAAGAUAUUAGUCCAGCUAGCAUCGCCUAAAACUAACUUUUAUUAAGGAACUAAAAUAA